GUGAGGAAUAUUGCGCAAUGGAGGCAACUCUGACGCAGCCAUGCCGCGUGCAGGAAGAAGGCGCUACGCGUUGUAAACUGCUUUUAACCGGGAAGAAACCCCAGGACGUGUCCUGGGUUGACGGUACCGGAGGAAUAAGCACCGGCUAACUUCGUGCCAGCAGCCGCGGUAAUACGAAGGGUGCAAGCGUUAUCCGGAUUCAUUGGGUUUAAAGGGUGCGUAGGCGGAGCGUUAAGUCAGUGGUUAAAUCCUGCAGCUUAACUGUAGACUUGCCAUUGAUACUGGCGCUCUUGAGUGCGCUUGAAGUGGGCGGAAUGUGCCGUGUAGCGGUGAAAUGCUUAGAUAUGGCACAGAACACCAAUUGCGAAGGCAGCUCACUAAGGCGAUACUGACGCUGAGGCACGAAAGCGUGGGGAUCGAACAGGAUUAGAUACCCUAGUAGUCC
rnacentral:rRNA from 1 species